GCUUUUAUUGAGGUUUUUUUUGAUAAUUAUAAUAUAUUUGGCUAAUAUUAUGAGUGAUGGUUGUAUAGUUUUUAUAGUUUAGUAGUACUGUUUAGGAAAUAAGUUUAUUUGUUUGUAAUAUUAGGUUUUUUAGUACCUUUUGUAUUAGGGUCUUUCAAUGUGAAUUUAUAUUAAUUUUGUCUCGAUGAAUAUUGGGCUAUUUUAUUGGUUAUUAUUUUUGUUGAAUAAAAUUAGUUAUAAUUUAAUAGUUAUGAAAUAUUAUUCAAAUUAUUUUUUAUCUAGUUCUUUAAGAAAUAUAAUUGAAGAUAUUUAUAUUAUAAAGAUAUGUUGGGAUUAGCUUACUUAUUUUUUAUAUAUUAAAGAGAUUUAUUUUAUUGGUGAAGUUAAAAGUUCUUAUUUUGAUGAUGUUAUUAUUUAUUAGAUUUGGUUUUUAUUAUUUUUUUAAUUUUAUGUUAAAAUUUAGGAUGUUUAUUUAAUAUUUAUAUUUGAUGUUAUAAUGAUAGGAUUAGUAAUAUGUUAUAUUUAUAAAUUUGUUUUUUGAAUUGGUUUGAGUAUAUGAGAAAGGAAGUUAUUAAUAUUGAGGAAUUAGGCAAUAUUGGCUUUUGACUGUUUAGCAAAAACAUUGUUUUUUGUUGGGAUGAAAAAUAAGGUCUGCCCACUGCUGAUUGGUAAAGGGCUGCGGUAUUUUGACUGUAUGAAGGUAGCAUAAUCAUUAGCUUUUUAAUUGUGAGCUGGUAUGAAGGUGAAACAGGGGCUUACUAUUUUGAUAAUAAUUAAUGAAUUUUAUUUUUAUGUGAAAAAUCAUAAUUGAAUUAAAGGGACAAGAAGACCCUAGUAAGUUUUAUUUUUUGUUGUGAUGAGUAUAUAGUUUAUUAAAUUUAUAUGAUUUGUGGUUUGAGAGUUUGACUGGGGCGGUAUAUAAUUAAACAUUAUUUAAUUUUUAAUUUUUGAUAGCGUUUGUUAGACCUGAUUUGGUUAGUUGUGUGUUAAAUUACUGUAGGGAUAACAGCGUAAUUUUUUUUUAGAGUUCUUAUUGACGGAAAA
rnacentral:rRNA from 1 species